UCCGAGUUGACCCCGGCAGUCUCCGAUGAGUCCCCGGCAUAACCCGCUGGCAACAUCGAACGAGGGUUGCGCUCGUUGCGGGACUUAACCCAACAUCUCACGACACGAGCUGACGACAGCCAUGCACCACCUGUGAACGGCCCCGAAGGACCCGACAUCUCUGCCGGAUUUCCGCCCAUGUCAAACCCAGGUAAGGUUCUUCGCGUUGCAUCGAAUUAAUCCGCAUAAUCCACCGCUUGUGCGGGUCCCCGUCAAUUCCUUUGAGUUUUAACCUUGCGGCCGUACUCCCCAGGCGGUCAACUUCACGCGUUAGCUGCGGCACCGGAGGGGUCGAUACCCCCGACACCUAGUGCCCACCGUUUACGGCGUGGACUAC
rnacentral:misc_RNA from 1 species